UUAAUAUUAUUCAUCACUUGAAAUCUUCAAAAAGCCUUCUCAUCGUGGAUGCAAAGUUCCCAACUUGAAUUCCAAACAAAUCCUCUCCAGCAAUCAAAUCCUCUCUAGAAGCCAACUCAACAUCCAAAAAUUAUUCCACCUGAUGCAUACAAAUCGUAUGGUAACAUAAGAAUGUCACACCACCAUCAUGGAGGACAGCCC
rnacentral:lncRNA from 1 species